UUCCAUUCUCUCAACUCUCAACAAAUCCUCAUGCUUCAACACCAAAUUCGAAGGUCAAGACUCGUGAAUCUCGCAAAAAGGCAAGUAGAAAACCUGAUCAACAGACAAAGGGCUACGCAUCUAUCCGAACAAAAUCUCAAUCAGUCAAAUUCAGGAUUUGAUGGCAAUUUGGGGAUUUCUCUCUUUGAGGUUUCGAGAUGGAUCCGAAGGCUUAAGAAUUAUGGAUAUGUUCUAGUUCUCAUUUU